UCUUACUUCUCUAUAUAUCUUUCGUUGUCCAAAUCUUAAGAAACUAGACUACAAGGGUCUCUGCCACCUAUCCUCUCUUACAAAAUUGUGUCUUGGUUACUGCUCCAGACUCCAAUGCUUACCAGAGGAGGGUUUGCCCAAAUCCAUUUCAAGUCUAUAUAUUCAGGGCAAUUGUGGGUCACUCAAUCAGCGUUGCCAGAAACCCAAUGGCAAAGAUUGGGGGAAGAUUUCUCACAUUGAAUGCAUAAGGAUUGGUGGUAACAUAAUCACAUAAUCCAUUUCUGAAAGAGUCGUGGACAGAUUCUCAUAUUGUCUAACUUUUGAUCAGGACGCCAGUAAAAUGGUGAAGGUGGUGACGGGCUCUCUUCAAACAGACAAAUCCUUUGUGGUUCUAUAGGUCUGAGCUGUUUCGUGGGUUGGAAGGUCAUUCGUGUGAAACUUUGGGAUGCUAGAACAGGGUGAGAGCUUUGCUCAUUCCACGGGCACAAAAAUAUUGUGUUGUGAGAUCUUCAACAUAGAAAGAAAUUGUCCGUUUACAUGGCGUUCCAAAGUCGAUUGUUUCGGACAGAGACCAUGUGUUUAUGAGCAUGUUUUGGAAAGUGUUAUUCCGGAUGUCAGGAACUAAGCUACGUUUUAGUAGUUCUUAUCAUCCACAAACGGACGGACAAUCCGAGGUGGUGAAUAGAACGGUUGAGACGUAUCUGCGGUGUUUUAUUAAUGGUCAUCCUCGUGACUGGGCUAAGUGGGUUCCUUGGGCAGAAUUCUGGUUCAACACCUCUUAUAAUAGAUCAAUUGGCAUGACACUAUUUAAGGCUGUGUACGGGUAGGAUCCCCCAUCCUUGUUUUGUUUUGAAAAAGGAGGAACUCAAGUAGAUGCAUUGGACCAAUGGCUGGCUGCUAGGGAUGCAGUGGUGACUAAUUUAAGACAAAAUCUGAAUAGGGCUCAGCAAUGUAUGAAAUUCCAAGCCGAUCAGAAAAGAAGAGAUGUUCAGUUUGCCAUUGGUGACAGUGUGUUCUUA